rnacentral:SRP_RNA from 1 species
CCGUGCUACACGGGGAGCUAGCGGUGCCCUGUACCCGCAAUCCGCUAUAGCGGGGUGGAACUCCCUCCCGAGGUCUGCGUCCAAGACCUCUAUCCUCACGGGUGGAUGUAGAGAGCUGGGUCCUGGGCGGCGGAGACCUGUGAACCCCGUCAGAUCCGGAAGGAAGCAGCGGUAAGCAGAAGUCCCUGGGUGCUCCAGGGAAGCCUGGCUUGAGUUGCCCGGGUGGAUAUGCGUUGGAUGUCCGAUCGAAGGAGGGUGCACGG